CCGCGUCGCCGGCUGCCGGUUGCCGGGCGCCACCGGCCCACCGCACGUCAUGCCGGCCAUCACCUCGGUGGACUCCCUGUGCUCCUCGUCGACCGAGCCACCACGCCAUCCACGAGGACGUCCACUCCGGCACGCCACCGGCCGGAAGUCCGGCCGCCAUCAUCACCUCCGACCUCCGCUCGCCCCUCCCAUCACCUAUAAAAGGGGCCGAGGCCGGCCGCCCCUGCCACCACCUCGCCUCACCUCCUAGGUCGCCCCCCUCCUCCACCGACCCCGUGCGCCGCCGCCAGAGCUCCGCCCACCGCCCUUUUUCCCACGCUGGCCCCCUCGCUUCCCAUCGCCAAAUCCCUAAGGUGAGGGUCAAAAUGGAGUCCCCUCGGUCUCCUCUACCUCCCCCGCCGCUUGGUCUCGCCGCCGGCGAGCUUGACUGGCCGGCCCACCGCCGGGUUGCCUCCUACCUCCCUGUACCCGUGCUCCAGGAAGAAGAAGGGGAGAAUCCCCUUCAAUUUCGAUCUAACCCCCUCCUUUCCUCUAAUUACAAACCAGCCCUCCCACCUCUCUUAAAGAAGUUUCACAAAUAUGCCCUUCCACCUUCCAGAAAUAAUUACAAAUAGGUCCCUGGUUCUCGCAGUUUAGUCCUAAAACCUUGUUUUAAGCCCCUAACACUCCUUUAGCUCGUCAUUUCAUGCGCCAAACUUUCUCCAAUUGAUCCCAAAUUUGACCACAGCCUCCUCUCAUAUACUUCCACC
rnacentral:lncRNA from 1 species